rnacentral:rRNA from 1 species
GACGAACGCUGGCGGCGUGCUUAACACAUGCAAGUCGAACGAAGAGCGAUGGAAGCUUGCUUCUAUCAAUCUUAGUGGCGCACGGGUGAGUAACGCGUAAUCAACCUGCCCUUCAGAGGGGGACAACAGUUGGAAACGACUGCUAAUACCGCAUACGAUCUAAUCUCGGCAUCGAGGAUAGAUGAAAGGUGGCCUCUACAUGUAAGCUAUCACUGAAGGAGGGGAUUGCGUCUGAUUAGCUAGUUGGAGGGGUAACGGCCCACCAAGGCGAUGAUCAGUAGCCGGUCUGAGAGGAUGAACAGCCACAUUGGGACUGAGACACGGCCCAGACUCCUACGGGAGGCAGCAGUGGGGAAUCUUCCGCAAUGGACGAAAGUCUGACGGAGCAACGCCGCGUGAGUGAUGACGGCCUUCGGGUUGUAAAGCUCUGUUAAUCGGGACGAAAGGCCUUCUUGCGAAUAGGGAGAAGGAUUGACGGUACCGGAAUAGAAAGCCACGGCUAACUACGUG